rnacentral:tRNA from 1 species
ACGCCGCCGGGGCGCGGUUCACGGCUGGUCCGGCCGUUCGAGGACAACCCGGUGUUUUCGGCCUGUUUCCGGCAGCUGGGCGGCGUUC